rnacentral:piRNA from 1 species
UAGACCUACGAGGUUAGAUGUUUUCCAGU